rnacentral:rRNA from 1 species
UACAGGGGGGGCAAGCGUUGUUCGGAAUUACUGGGCGUAAAGGGCUCGUAGGCGGCCAACUAAGUCACACGUGAAAUCCCCAGGCUUAACCUGGGAACUGCGUGUGAUACUGGAUGGCUUGAAUCCGGGAGAGGGAUGCAGAAUUCCAGGUGUAGCGGUGAAAUGCGUAGAUAUCUGGAGGAAUACCGGUGGCGAAGGCGGCAUCCUGGACCGGCAUUGACGCUGAUGAGCGAAAGCUAGGGGAGCAACGGG